AAACGAUUCACUGUCAUUAUUACCGGGGAGAAGAAAAACACUGUAAACAGCAGCAGGAGAGAAGGAACGCUGCUGCUUUCAAACAGACGGACACACUAGUGUCCGUCUGUUUGACGGACACACACACCCUAACACAAAACACACACACACAUUAACACACACACAACCACUAAGACACAUAACACACAGACUAACACAGUCUGGUCCAGGUCUCAGUCCGUCCACUAACGUCCUCACUUUGCUUGAUGUCCUCUGUCCCAAAACUUGACAUAAAGACCAACUCUGAGCCAAUCAGCAGGCUCCGUCUGAUUUAAGGAGACGUGACCCGACUAGUGAGCAGCAGCACAGAUUCCUGCUCUUUAAGGUGGAAAUGAGUUUUUAUCUGAUUCAGUGAAACGUUUAAAAUUCUGGUCUCCGUGAAGCURUCAACAUGUUGCCGUCUCUGUUUACCUUCAGGGGACACAACUACCCUCAGCCGUCCACUCAGAGGACACACACACACACGCACGCACGCACGCACRCACACACACACACACGCACGGAGACGCUUCACACUAAUGGACCUGCAGCCUGCCGAUCCUCUGCAGAAACAAAGUAAACAAACAACAAAACAGGAACCAGAGGAUGAAAAACCUUCGCUGUGUCGACACUUUGUGGCUGAAUGCAAAGGAGCGAGCGGCCGCUGGCGGCUGUAAACUGCUCUCUCCUCCUCUUCAGGCUCCUCCUGCAUUAUUAAAGACAGAAACUAUCAGCCGGCUCCGUCUAAGCGCUGGAUGGAUGGAAAUAUGGAGAGAAAUUAAUAUCUGAUUCCCCAAACAAGUUGAAAUUAGUUGUGACAGAUCGACUGGACCAACAGGAUUUACAUUCCUGGCCACUGCUGCUUUCCUCUCAUCCAGAACCAGACACGCGUCGCUCUGCUAACGGCUCACAGGAAACCCAAAGAGUGACGGCGAACAGAGGAGGAAGCAGCUGCAGCAUCAAGAGACGCUGCAGGCUGACAGAGCAGAGAUGCUGAGGUUCAGGCAGACGGUGGGAAGGUUCCCUGUUUAAAGAUGGAGAACCAGAAGGAACCUUGGUUCUGUCGUCAGUCAGACGAUAAAUCACACUGAGAUUAUUUAUUUAAA